rnacentral:rRNA from 1 species
AUGAUCAAAACAGCCCUAGAGUAUAGGAGAGCAUUCAUCGCUAUGAAGUUGCAGGACACAACAUUUACAUGUCAACCUACAAAUGUUGAAUGGGAAACGGCACAAUCUGUUUGCAGCUUGUUAGAGCUUUUCCUUGACGCAACUAUGGUGGUAUCCGGUACAUUAUAUCCAACGGCUCAUUUGUAUUUCCACCAACUUUGGAAAAUUCAUCUAACAUUGCAAAGAGAGGCCAACCAGACCGAUAUUGUCAUCAAAUCCAUGGUUGAAGCAAUGCAAGAAAAGUUCAUGAAGUAUUGGAAGCUUUCAUUCUUGACCAUUUGUAUUCCGGUCAUACUCGAUCCAAGAUACAAGUUCAAAUUCUUGGAGUUUUGCUUGAAAUCUGGACUUGAAAGUGACGCAAUGAGAUAUCUUGCUAAAGUGAAGAGAACAUUCAAAGAUUUAUUUGUUGAAUAUUCUGUGCAUGAGGGUGACUCAAGUAUGGGAAAUGAUCAAGGAACCAGCAAUGUUGGUACAAGUACUGAUAACCCAUGGGAUCAAUGGAACAAGCAUGUUCAACAACAUCAACAAAAUCGAGCAAAGCUGAGUGAACUUGAUAUUUACCUAAAAGAUGAAAUUUGCCCGCAAGAAGAUGGCUUCGACAUACUAUCCUGGUGGUGCACAAAUGCACACAAGUACCCUAUAGUAUCUCGGAUAGCAAAGGAUGUACUGGCUGCACCUGCAUCUUCUGUAGCAUCAGAGUCAGCCUUCUCCACCGGAGGAAGGAUACUGAGUGACUAUAGGAGCAGAAUGAUAGAAACCACUGUAGAGGCAUUAAUCUGUCUACAAGAUUGGAUGCGACCUCGAGGAACUAAUCAUGUUGGCACGAUAAUAAACGAUGUUAUUUAUGGAACAGGUGCUGAUAUUGAUGCUCAUUGA